CAAGAGAUAUGAUCUUGGCUCACUGCAACCUCUGCCUCCUAGGUUCAAACAAUUCUCCUGCCUCAGCACUCCCAAGUAGCUGGGAUUACAGGUAUGCACCACCUCACCUGGCUGAAUUUUGCAUUUUUGGUAGAGGUGGGGUUUCACCAUGUUGGCCAGGCUGGUCUCGAACUCCUUUCCUCAAGUGAUCCACCCGCCUCAGCCUCCCAAAGUGCUGGGAUUACAGGCAUUACCCACCAUGCCCGGCACGUUACUUUCAUUUUAUUGAUUUACAUUGCUUAUCUGUGUAAACCCUGAUAACAGAGAUAUACCCAGACUGCCCCUCAGCAGCCAGCCAAAUCUGCAGAUCCCCGGCUUUAGCUGGAAGCCAAGGCUACUGCCAAGAUUCCAUAAAUCAGUUCAUUUGGCUCAGCCUGACUAGCAGGACCACGAAGAUGAACAAUGCCUCCAAAAACAAAAUCAAACUGUCCUGGAGGCUACACAGAAAGAGAUGGAGAAUUGUCUCGGUCAAUUCUGGGGCAGCAUUUUUGCAGAGUAGAAUUUUUUUUUUCUUUCAGGAUAGCCAAUGUCCCGUUUACUGUGAAAUUUGGUAUGCUGAUUACAGCUUGUAAUGAUCAUUCGGCUCAGUAGAUCAUAUCUGACUUUUCCAAAAGCAAUUUUAUGUGGGUACUAAUGUGUUUGUCCCAUGCUUAUUCUGGUCAGUGGGGCAUGCAGUUAUAAGGAUCAGAUGGAAGUAAUUUCUUGGAUUUCCCUUUGAUGUUUCCAAAGGGAGGAAGAUUCUCUGUAUCCCUCUGGGUGCUCCCUGACAGUGUGGAGAGCCCUGUGACGGCUCGAGGCGGGAGAUCCUAUUUUCCACCCCCAGUCACUUGACCAGUCCACCAAGAAGCUCUGCAUUCUCAGGUUUUUGAGACCUGUCCCAGCCACAAGUCACGAGGCUUACCUCUCAGGAAAGUCACCUCAAGAAGAACAUCCAGAAGGCUGUUCUUGGAUAUCUGGGGCUGAGAUAGGGAUGCAGUGCCCAUCACUGCUUCCCUAGUUCACUCCUAUGGGAAGCUGAUGCCCCUUCCACCUUUCACUCAUCACCUUUUCUCACUGUGCUUAUUGAUCCUGAACAAAAGCGGCAGCUCAGAAGCUCUCAUCCAGCAGAAGUGACUGAGAGCAGGACAGCAGGCCCGUCCACCCUGGCCUUCUCCCACCAGGCAGUCUGCUUGGUUCCUGCUGAGCAGACUUAUCCCUAAUGGCCGGAAGCGCUCCUCUCUUUGCCCACCAACCCCAGCUCCAAAGCAGAUGCAAGUGUCUCCAUUUCCCUGGUCUUACUUUACUCCUCUGCCUCCUGGGAUCAGAAUAAUAAUUUCUAGUUCUCUGGAUUGGCUCUGCUUUGCAAUAUAUGACUCACUCUCUUUUCCUUCAAGCUUUCCCUUAACGUGGUCCACACUCGAGGAUGCUGGCUGGGUCUUUAUCACAGGAGAAUUUUCAGGUAUUCAGCAACUGAAGAAAAAAAAAAGACCUAUUGAACACUCCUUUCCCUGCUCUCAAUCAGGUCACACAGAGUUCUUGAGAGAAGAAAAACAGCAAAUGUGAAACUGAUGCCAGUCAUCUUCUUAGAACAAAGGCCAAGAAGUAGGAGUGAUUUUUUUGUGUGUUGGUGCAUGCAUGUAUUUUAGUGGAAUGAAAGAAACAGCCAUGCCCUCAAACACCUCACUCUUGUGUUUACGCAGCUGGCCCCCACUGGAAGACGCGUCUGAGAUUGCAUUCCGUGAUAUUUCACCAAUACCUUCAAUAACCACGUCUUCUUUUCACCUCCAGAUCACAUUGGAAACCCAUUUACUUUAUUCAUAAAAGUGUAACAUAUUCAGCCCUGAGUCUCCAGUUAUUAUCAGCAUUUGCACAUGACCGAGCAUAGUCACUGAAGCCUCUGCUCUUGCCGUCACACAUUUCUGAGCAUUUUGAACUGUGAUUGUUACUCUUUAACCUGGGGGCUCUUCGACUUUCCUAAAGAGGGGAAAUCCAGAUGAGAGCACCAGAUCUUACGCUGUCAUAUUAGCUAGAUGGAGGAAGCAAGAAUAAGUGCAAUAACAAGAGCCAGGUUUUUUGCAUGUCUGACAAUGAUGACUUCACCUGGACCCACCAACUGCCCCUGUGGCCCCACGCAGAAGUGAUCCGGCACAUAUGAGGACCAUUUCCUGCACCCUUAUGACUGCACCCCAACCAAUCAGCAGCAAGUGCCCAUUGCCUAGCCACCCCUCCUCUUCCCCCAAACUAUCUUUGAAAAAACCCUAACCUCUGAAUUUUCAGGGAGGCUGAUUUGAGUGCAAAUAAAAUUCUGAUCUCCUGUUUAGCCGGC
rnacentral:lncRNA from 1 species